GGAGUGAUGAUGAGUGGCGCAGGGGUACGGACCUCAGCCGGAUCAUGGGGGCUGAGUGCUGCUGCAGGACCUGAUCAGGAACAUGUGGUUCCGUCAGGGUCGGCCGCAGCACGACACAGACGCCUGACUGAACUAA